rnacentral:rRNA from 1 species
AGGGUUUGAUUCUGGCUCAGGAUGAACGCUGGCGGCGUGCUUAACACAUGCAAGUCGAACGGAGUGCCUAUGAAAGAGGAUUCGUCCAAUUGAUUAGGUUACUUAGUGGCGGACGGGUGAGUAACGCGUGAGGAACCUGCCUCGGAGUGGGGAAUAACAAUCCGAAAGGAUUGCUAAUACCGCAUGAUGCAGUUGGGCCGCAUGGCUCUGACUGCCAAAGAUUUAUCGCUCUGAGAUGGCCUCGCGUCUGAUUAGCUAGUUGGCGGGGUAACGGCCCACCAAGGCGACGAUCAGUAGCCGGACUGAGAGGUUGACCGGCCACAUUGGGACUGAGACACGGCCCAG